UACAGAGGUCUCAAGCGUUGUUCGGAUUCAUUGGGCGUAAAGGGUGCGUAGGCGGCGCGGUAAGUCGGGUGUGAAAUCUUGGAGCUUAACUCCGAAACUGCAUUCGAUACUGCCGGUGCUUGAGGACUGGAGAGGAGACUGGAAUUUACGGUGUAGCGGUGAAAUGCGUAGAUAUCGUAAGGAAGACCAGGUGGCGAAGGCGGGUCUCUGGACAGUUCCUGACGCUGAGGCACGAAGGUCAGGGGAGCAAACGGG
rnacentral:rRNA from 1 species